CUACAUUCAGGGCACUGACAGGCCUUCUUCUCUUUGCACUCGUCAAUAUCUUCGCAGCUUUUGACACCGUCGCCUUUAAACCCUGGAGGACAUGAGCAUUUGACAUUGCCAUCGUCCGUACAAGCAGAGAAUGUAUGUCCAUUCCGGGUCUCAUGCCAACAUCCUCCAUUAUUAAUUUUGCACCUCGCAGGCCCACUCGCUGCACAAGUGGUGUAACCAUCUCCUUUGAACUGCACACCAUCAACAAGUGGGCAUUCACAUACCCUCCCACGAAAAG
rnacentral:misc_RNA from 1 species